UACGUAGGGUGCAGGCGUUUAAUCGGAAUUACUGGGCGUAAAGCGUGCGCAGGCGGUUUGCUAAGACAGGUGUGAAAUCCCCGGGCUUAACCUGGGAACUGCGCUUGUAACUGGCAAGCUUGAGUGUGGCAGAGGGGGGUGGAAUUCCACGUGUAGCAGUGAAAUGCGUAGAGAUGUGGAGGAACACCGAUGGCGAAGGCAGCCCCUGGGCUAACACUGACGCUCAUGCACGAAGCGUGGGAGCAACAGG
rnacentral:rRNA from 1 species